rnacentral:miRNA from 12 species
AGUUGGACAGGGGAUCAUGACA